GACGAACGCUGGCGGCGUGCCUAACACAUGCAAGUCGAGCGAGGUCCAUCCAGUCGCAAGACCGGUGAAGACCUAGCGGCGAACGGGUGAGUAACACGUGAGAAACCUGCCCCGGAGACCGGGAUAACCCGAGGAAACUCGAGCUAAUACCGGAUACCCCCAUCUCAUCGCAUGUUGAGAUGAGGAAAUGCUCCGACGCUCCGGGAGGGUCUCGCGGCCUAUCAGGUAGUUGGUGAGGUAACGGCUCACCAAGCCGAAGACGGGUAGCUGGUCUGAGAGGACGAUCAGCCACACUGGGACUGAGACACGGCCCAGACUCCUACGGGAGGCAGCAGUGGGGAAUCUUGCGCAAUGGGCGAAAGCCUGACGCAGCAACGCCGCGUGCGGGAUGAAGGCUCUCGGGUUGUAAACCGCUUUCAGGAGGGACGAAAAUGACGGUACCUCCAGAAGAAGCCCCGGCCAACUACGUGCCAGCCGCCGCGGUAACAC
rnacentral:rRNA from 1 species